rnacentral:rRNA from 1 species
GAUGAACGCUGGCGGCGUGCUUAACACAUGCAAGUCGAACGGAAAGGCCCAAGCUUUCUUGGGUACUCGAGUGGCGAACGGGUGAGUAACACGUGGGUGAUAUGCCCUGCACUUCGGGAUAAGCCUGGGAAACUGGGUCUAAUACCGGAUAGGACCACUUCUUGGAUGUUGUGGUGGAAAGUUUUUUCGGUUCGGGAUGAGCUCGCGGCCUAUCAGCUUGUUGGUGGGGUAAUGGCCUACCAAGGCGUCGACGGGUAGCCGGCCUGGGAGGGUGUACGGCCACAUUGGGUCUGAGGUGCGGCCCAGACUCGUAAGGGAGGCAGCUGUGGGAAAUAUUGCACGAUCGGCGCAAGCCUGAUGCAGAGACGCCGCGUGGGGGAUGACGGCGUUCGGGUUGUAGACUCCUUUCGCUAGGGACGAAGCGUUUUGUGACGGUACCUGGAGAAGAAGCACCGGCUAACUACGUG